UGAUGGACGACAUCUUCCACAACAGAAAAUGCAAAGGAUUCUUCAUGUGCUAUUUCUCAUACGCAUUUCUGACAAGAACUGAAGAUAGAAUCUUAAAAUGUAAUCAAGAGAAAAGUGGCUCCAGCAAUGAAGAUGGAAAUCGGCCCAGACUGCUUUCUCCAUUGCAUAUUUUGCAGGCCAGACACUGUGCUAGGUACCAGAGAGAGCUGUUUUGGGCUGUUGAAAGGAGACGGCAGGUCAUACAUCAGCACUUUAACAGGAAACAUUUAAACUUUCACCUUCCUUUUCAUUGGAAGUAAAGGCCAAUUUAAAAUCUUUUGAAAUGGAUUACAAAAUUCUGUAAGGAAGUAUAAAGAGAAAAUAACAUAAUAAACACUCCUAUGCUCAUCAUCUAACUUUAUCGAAUCUUAAUAUUUUGAUAUAUUUGCUUUAGAUUUCGUAAAAUGUUAACAUAUUACAACAUAAUUGAAGCCCCUUUGAUAAUUGAAACCCUGAACUCCUCUUCUGAGCCACCCCAUAGGUAACCAUAAUCCUAAAUUUCAUAUUUACUGUUCUUAUUUAUAACAUACUACAUUUCCCAUAUGAUUCUUACGUGCAAAUUCAUAAAUAACAAAUAAGACUAUUUUAUAUGCAUUUAAACUUUAUAUAAAUGAUAUUCUGUUAUACCUAGUCUUCUAUAAUUUGGCUUUUUAAAAAUUUGACAGUAUAUUUUUGAGAUAAUUUGUGUAUUAUCUAAAUCCUACUUCAUUCAUUCAUUUCCUUUUCUACACAAAAUUCCAUUGUAUGAUUGUUCCACAACUUAUUUAUUCACUCCUCACACUCAGUUAG